UACGUAGGGUCCGAGCGUUGUCCGGAAUUAUUGGGCGUAAAGGGCUCGUAGGCGGUUUGUCACGUCGGGCGUGAAAACUCAGGGCUCAACCCUGAGCGUGCGUUCGAUACGGGCAGACUAGAGGUAUGCAGGGGAGAACGGAAUUCCUGGUGUAGCGGUGGAAUGCGCAGAUAUCAGGAGGAACACCGGUGGCGAAGGCGGUUCUCUGGGCAUUACCUGACGCUGAGGAGCGAAAGUGUGGGGAGCGAACAGG
rnacentral:rRNA from 1 species